rnacentral:rRNA from 1 species
UACGAAGGGGGCUAGCGUUGCUCGGAAUUACUGGGCGUAAAGCGCACGUAGGCGGUCUUUUAAGUCGGGGGUGAAAUCCUGGAGCUCAACUCCAGAACUGCCUUCGAUACUGGAAGACUUGAGUCCGGGAGAGGUGAGUAGAACUGCGAGUGUAGAGGUGAAAUUCGUAGAUAUUCGCAAGAACACCAGUGGCGAAGGCGGCUCACUGGCCCGGUACUGACGCUGAGGUGCGAAAGCGUGGGGAGCAAACAGG